UAGUCCACGCCGUAAACGAUGAGUGCUAGCUGUCGGGACAUUAGUCUCGGUGGCGCAGCUAACGCGGUAAGUUGUCCGCCUGGGGAGUACGGCCGCAAGGCUAAAACUCAAAUGGAAUUGACGGGGGCCCGCACAAGCGGUGGAGCAUGUUGUUUAAUUCGAUGCAACGCGAAGAACCUUACCACCCCUUGACAUCCUCAGAACUUGUUAGAAAUAACUUGGUGCCUUCGGGAACUGAGUGACAGGUGCUGCAUGGCUGUCGUCAGCUCGUGUCGUGAGAUGUUGGGUUAAGUCCCGUAACGAGCGCAACCCUUGUCCUUAUUUGCCAGCGAGUAAUGUCGGGAACUCUAAGGAGACUGCCGGUGACAAGCCGGAGGAAGGUGGGGAUGAGGUCAAGUCAUCAUGGCCCUUAUGGGUAGGGCUACACACGUGCUACAAUGGUCGGUACAGAGGGCAGCGAACCCGCGAGGGGGAGCCGAAUCCCACAAAACCGAUCGUAGUCCGGAUUGCAGU
rnacentral:rRNA from 1 species